CCCCAUAGUAUUAUUUUUUGGCAUCAUUAAAUAAUUAAAGUUUCGGCGGUAUAAGAUGACUAUGCGUUCUAUUAGUUAGUUGGUAAGGUAACGGCUUACCAAGACUGCGAUAGAUAGGGGUCCUGAGAGGGAGAUCCCCCACACUGGUACUGAGACACGGACCAGACUCCUACGGGAGGCAGCAGUGAGGAAUAUUGGACAAUGGAGGCAACUCUGAUCCAGCCAUGCCGCGUGUAGGAAGACUGCCCUAUGGGUUGUAAACUACUUUUAUAUGGGAAGAAUAAGGUCUACGUGUAGACUGAUGACGGUACCAUAAGAAUAAGCACCGGCUAACUCCGUGCCAGCAGCCGCGGUAAUACGGAGGGUGCAAGCGUUAUCCGGAAUCAUUGGGUUUAAAGGGUCCGUAGGCGGGCAUAUAAGUCAGUGGUGAAAGUCUGUGGCUUAACCAUAGAAUUGCCAUUGAUACUGUAUGUCUUGAAUUAUUGUGAAGUGGUUAGAAUAUGUAGUGUAGCGGUGAAAUGCUUAGAGAUUACAUAGAAUACCGAUUGCGAAGGCAGAUCACUAACAAUAUAUUGACGCUGAUGGACGAAAGCGUAGGUAGCGAACAGGAUUAGAUACCCUGGUAGUCUACGCCGUAAACGAUGGAUACUAGUUGUUUGGCCUUCGGGCUGAGUGACUAAGCGAAAGUGAUAAGUAUCCCACCUGGGGAGUACGUUCGCAAGAAUGAAA
rnacentral:rRNA from 1 species